rnacentral:rRNA from 1 species
ACUCCUACGGGAGGCAGCAGUGGGGAAUAUUGCACAAUGGGCGCAAGCCUGAUGCAGCCAUGCCGCGUGUGUGAAGAAGGCCUUCGGGUUGUAAAGCACUUUUCAGUUGUGAGGAAGGUGGUGUCGUUAAUAGCGGCAUCAUUUGACGUUAGCAACAGAAGAAGCACCGGCUAACUCCGUGCCAGCAGCCGCGGUAAUCGGAGGGUGCGAGCGUUAAUCGGAAUUACUGGGCGUAAAGCGCAUGCAGGCGGCCUGUUAAGUCAGAUGUGAAAGCCCGGGGCUUAACCUCGGAAUUGCAUUUGAAACUGGCAGGCUAGAGUCUUGUAGAGGGGGGUAGAAUUUCAGGUGUAGCGGUGAAAUGCGUAGAGAUCUGAAGGAAUACCAGUGGCGAAGGCGGCCCCCUGGACAAACGACUGACGCUCAGAUGCGAAAGCGUGGGGAGCGAAACAGGAUUAGAUACCCUGGUAGCACAGAGUAGUC